rnacentral:rRNA from 1 species
AUACGGAGGAUGCAAGCGUUAUCCGGAUUUAUUGGGUUUAAAGGGUGCGUAGGCGGUUUGCUAAGCGGGAGGUGAAAUGCCGGCGCUCAACGUCGGAAGUGCCUCCCGAACUGGUGGACUGGAAUGACUCUGCCGUGGGAGGAAUGUGUAGUGUAGCGGUGAAAUGCUUAGAGAUUACACAGAACACCGAUUGCGAAGGCAUCUCACGAAGGGUUGAUUGACGCUGAGGCACGAAAGCGUGGGGAUCAAACAGGAUUAGAUACCCUGGUAGUCCACGCAGUAAACGAUGAUGGCUAACCGCUGGUUUAUUCGGAUCAGUGGCCAAGCGAAAGCGAUAAGCCAUCCGCCUGGGGAGUACGACCGCAAGGUUGAAACUCAAAGGAAUUGACGGGG